CCAAUGACUGGGGUGAAGUCGUAACAAGGUAGCCGUAUCGGAAGGUGCGGCUGGAUCACCUCCUUUCUAAGGAG
rnacentral:rRNA from 1 species